rnacentral:rRNA from 1 species
UGGGGAAUAUUGCACAAUGGGCGAAAGCCUGAUGCAGCGACGCCGCGUGAGGGAUGACGGCCUUCGGGUUGUAAACCUCUUUCGACAGGGACGAAGCGCAAGUGACGGUACCUGUAGAAGAAGCACCGGCCAACUACGUGCCAGCAGCCGCGGUAAUACGUAGGGUGCGAGCGUUGUCCGGAAUUACUGGGCGUAAAGAGCUUGUAGGCGGUUUGUCGCGUCGUCUGUGAAAACUCACAGCUCAACUGUGAGCUUGCAGGCGAUACGGGCAGACUUGAGUACUGCAGGGGAGACUGGAAUUCCUGGUGUAGCGGUGAAAUGCGCAGAUAUCAGGAGGAACACCGGUGGCGAAGGCGGGUCUCUGGGCAGUAACUGACGCUGAGAAGCGAAAGCGUGGGUAGCGAACAGGAUUAGAUACCCUGGUAGUCCACGCCGUAACGGUGGGUACUAGGUGUGGGUUUCCUUCCACGGGAUCCGUGCCGUAGCUAACGCAUUAAGUACCCCGCCUGGGGAGUACGGCCGCAAGGCU